GACGAACGCUGGCGGCGUGCCUAAUACAUGCAAGUCGAACGCUUUUUCUUUCACCGGAGCUUGCUCCACCGAAAGGAAAAGAGUGGCGAACGGGUGAGUAACACGUGGGUAACCUGCCCAUCAGAAGGGGAUAACACUUGGAAACAGGUGCUAAUACCGUAUAACACUAUUUUCCGCAUGGCAGAAAGUUGAAAGGCGCUUUUGCGUCACUGAUGGAUGGCCCCGGGGUGCAUUAGCCAGUUGGUGAGGUAACGGCUCAGCAAGGCAACGAUGCAUAGCCGACCUGAGAGGGUGAUCGGCCACACUGGGACUGAGACACGGCCCAGACUCCUACGGGAGGCAGCAGUAGGGAAUCUUCGGCAAUGGACGAAAGUCUGACCGAGCAACGCCGCGUGAGUGAAGAAGGUUUUCGGAUCGUAAAACUCUGUUGUUAGAGAAGAACAAGGAUGAGAGUAAAAUGUUCAUCCCUUGACGGUAUCUAACCAGAAAGCCACGGCUAACUACGUGCCAGCAGCCGCCGUAA
rnacentral:rRNA from 1 species